UUUUUUUAUGGAGAGUUUGAUCCUGGCUCAGGACGAACGCUGGCGGCGUGCUUAACACAUGCAAGUCGAACGGAAAGGCCUAGCUUGCUAGGUACUCGAGUGGCGAACGGGUGAGUAACACGUGGGUGAUCUGCCUCGUACUUCGGGAUAAGCCUGGGAAACUGGGUCUAAUACUGGAUAGGACCAUGCUUUAGUGUGUGUGGUGGAAAGUUUUUCGGUACGAGAUGAGCCCGCGGCCUAUCAGCUUGUUGGUGGGGUAAUGGCCUACCAAGGCGUCGACGGGUAGCCGGCCUGAGAGGGUGGACGGCCACAUUGGGACUGAGAUACGGCCCAGACUCCUACGGGAGGCAGCAGUGGGGAAUAUUGCACAAUGGGCGCAAGCCUGAUGCAGCGACGCCGCGUGGGGGAUGACGGCCUUCGGGUUGUAAACCUCUUUCGCUAGGGACGAAGCUUUUGUGACGGUACCUAGAUAAGAAGCACCGGCUAACUACGUGCCAGCAGCCGCGGUAAUACGUAGGGUGCGAGCGUUGUCCGGAAUUACUGGGCGUAAAGAGCUCGUAGGUGGUUUGUCGCGUCGUCUGUGAAAUUCCGGGGCUUAACUUCGGGCGUGCAGGCGAUACGGGCAUAACUUGAGUGCUGUAGGGGAGACUGGAAUUCCUGGUGUAGCGGUGGAAUGCGCAGAUAUCAGGAGGAACACCGAUGGCGAAGGCAGGUCUCUGGGCAGUAACUGACGCUGAGGAGCGAAAGCAUGGGGAGCGAACAGGAUUAGAUACCCUGGUAGUCCAUGCCGUAAACGGUGGGCGCUAGGUGUGAGGGUCUUCCACGACUUUCGUGCCGUAGCUAACGCAUUAAGCGCCCCGCCUGGGGAGUACGGCCGCAAGGCUAAAACUCAAAGGAAUUGACGGGGGCCCGCACAAGCGGCGGAGCAUGUGGAUUAAUUCGAUGCAACGCGAAGAACCUUACCUGGGCUUGACAUAUGCAGGAUCGGCGUAGUGAUACGUUUUCCCUUGUGGUCUGUAUACAGGUGGUGCAUGGUUGUCGUCAGCUCGUGUCGUGAGAUGUUGGGUUAAGUCCCGCAACGAGCGCAACCCUUGUCUUAUGUUGCCAGCACGUGAUGGUGGGGACUCAUGAGAGACUGCCGGGGUUAACUCGGAGGAAGGUGGGGAUGACGUCAAAUCAUCAUGCCCCUUAUGUCCAGGGCUUCACACAUGCUACAAUGGUCGGUACAACGCGCUGCGAGCCUGUGAGGGUGAGCGAAUCGCUGAAAGCCGGCCUCAGUUCGGAUUGGGGUCUGCAACUCGACCCCAUGAAGUCGGAGUCGCUAGUAAUCGCAGAUCAGCAACGCUGCGGUGAAUACGUUCCCGGGCCUUGUACACACCGCCCGUCACGUCAUGAAAGUUGGUAACACCCGAAGCCAGUGGCCUAACCCUUGUGGGGGGGAGCUGUCGAAGGUGGGAUCGGCGAUUGGGACGAAGUCGUAACAAGGUAGCCGUACCGGAAGGUGCGGCUGGAUCACCUCCUUUCUAAGGAG
rnacentral:rRNA from 1 species